AUACCUCUGCGGUGUUCGUGAUGAGCGUUAUCUUUUGCUGAGCCGAUGUGUAUACCGCUGGGGGCCGAUAUGUUUGUUCUGGGGCAUGCAAGCCCUGCGCAGCUUCCUUGCGAAGCUGGUCUAAGCGGGAUCCGUAAUCCAGAACCUGAGGCACCCCUUUUCUUAUGCGGGUUCACAAAAGCGUGUCACACGGCACAGGUGGAGGUAUU
rnacentral:other from 1 species